AACGAACGCUGGCGGCAGGCCUAACGCAUGCAAGUCGAGCGAGGACUUCGGUCCUAGCGGCGGACGGGUGAGUAACGCGUGGGAACGUGCCCUUUGCUUCGGAAUAGCCCUGGGAAACUGGGAGUAAUACCGGAUGAGCCCUUUGGGGGAAAGAUUUAUCGGCGAAGGAUCGGCCGGCGUUGGAUUAGGUGGUUGGUGGGGUAAUGGCCUACCAAGCCGACGAUCCAUAGCUGGUUUGAGAGGAUGAUCAGCCACACUGGGACUGAGACACGGCCCAGACUCCUACGGGAGGGAGCAGAGGGGGAUCUUAGACAAUGGGGGAAGCCAUGAUCGAGCCAUGCCGCGUGAGCGAUGAAGGCCGUAAGGUUGUAAAGCUCUUUCAGCUGGGAAGAUAAUGACGGUACCAACAGAAGAAGCCCCGGCUAACUCCGUG
rnacentral:rRNA from 1 species